rnacentral:rRNA from 1 species
AUGUUAGUGGCAGACGGGUGAGUAUGCGUAGGAAUCUACCUAGUAGUACGGAAUAGCCAUUAGAAAUGGUGGGUAAUACUGUAUAAUCCCCGAGGGGGAAAGAUUUAUCGCUAUUAGAUGAGCCUACGUUAGAUUAGCUAGUUGGUGAGGUAAUGGCUUACCAAGGCUAUGAUCUAUAGCUGGUCUGAGAGGACGAUCAGCCACACUGGAACUGAGAUACGGUCCAGACUCCUACGGGAGGCAGCAGUGGGGAAUAUUGGACAAUGGGCGAAAGCCUGAUCCAGCUAUGCCGCGUGAGUGAAGAAGGCCUUCGGGUUGUAAAACUCUUUCAAUAGGGAAGAUAAUGACGGUACCUAUAA